rnacentral:rRNA from 1 species
UUGAACGCUGGCGGCAUGCCUUACACAUGCAAAGUCGAACGGCAGCACGGGAGCAAUCCUGGUGGCGAGUGGCGAACGGGUGAGUAAUAUAUCGGAACGUGCCCAGUCGUGGGGGAUAACGUAGCGAAAGCUACGCUAAUACCGCAUACUAUCUAUGGAUGAAAGCGGGGGAUCGCAAGACCUCGCGCGAUUGGAGCGGCCGAUAUCAGAUUAGGUAGUUGGUGAGGUAAAGGCUCACCAAGCCGACGAUCUGUAGCUGGUCUGAGAGGACGACCAGCCACACUGGGACUGAGACACGGCCCAGACUCCUACGGGAGGCAGCAGUGGGGAAUUUUGGACAAUGGGCGCAAGCCUGAUCCAGCAAUGCCGCGUGCAGGAUGAAGGCCUUCGGGUUGUAAACUGCUUUUGUACGGAACGAAACGGUGAGCUCUAAUACAGUUUGCUAAUGACGGUACCGUAAGAAUAAGCACCGGCUAACUACGUG